GUCCAAGACUACGAACCAAUGUCCCCUGGGGUGUUAGCUGUCUAUCAGAUCGAGUACAUUGUUUAUCAGACCUGCGAAAAAGCCAGUUUUUUUGUGUGGUCCUGAUAACAUCAUCCUGAUUCUGUGGUUCCAUAUUUUCCUUUGGAAUGCUGGGGAACAAGCAACCUGCUGCUACUGCUAAUACAAGCAUCAUCCUCCUUGCCCCACCCUACCAAGCUUCAUAUGGUGGAAUUUGUGCAGAUAAAGUACCUAUCCACUGUCUUCAAAAUGAAUUUUACUCAUUGAUCAAGACUUGUGAUCCUCUGGAAAAGAUUUGCAGCACUGUGAGGUCAAAGACAUAUUGGAGGAGCAUUGGAUGCAGACAACACUGGCCUGAAUGUCAAAAAAUCAGGCUUCAAGAACUGCAAGGUACUUAACCAACUGUGAGCUUGGAAGUCACCUCAACUCUCUGAAACUCAGAUUCUUCAUUGGAAAAGUGAUUCCUUAACCAGCAAGAUGGCCAUGGGAAUCAAAUAACAAGUUGUAUACUAACAAAAAUAAGCCUUUGACAACUACAAAUAUUUUUACAAA